ACUGGAGAUUCAACCUUCUUUAAGCCAAUUUCUUCUCCAUCACCAGCCACCUCUACUCAUCAAAUCGAAGUGUCUUCCAUCACCGGAGAAGCCAUCGUUGUUGUGAUUCAUGUUAUUGGGAACAUGACUAAGACGAGAUGAGAAAGUGUAAUCUGAGCCGUCGAAUUCCAUCUCGACCAGCCACAUAUUGCACGGCCGUGAUCUGUGAGUCACCAGAGAUCCACGUCGCCACCGUCCAAGCUGUACCAAGCCACAGAAGAUCAUAUACACCAUUACCGGAGGAGCAGUCAUGCCUUUAGAAGUCAUCGUGGUGAUCUGUCUACGGUAUGUAAUGGAAACAAGAGGUGUAGACGUGGAGAAGAGACAGAGCCACCAUGUCAUCAUAUUUACGUUUCCGUUCUUCACCAUCAUCAAUGGCGAGCCACUGGACAUGCACUUCAUGUCAGAUUGUCUUUGAAUUUCCAACUGAUGUUGUCUUUGUUCACUUGACUUCUUUAGGUUCUCUAAUAAAUGUUUAUUUCCUUCUUCUAGUGUAUUGGAAGAAAAGCUCCACCAUCAGAAGUCCAAAUACCAGAUGACAAAGAUAACUGUUUCCAAGAGUUUCUAAGUUGAUUCAGAAAAAUCAAGGAUAAAGAAGUUCAUUUCUCACUUCGGAAUGCAUUAAUUGACCAUUUAUGGAAAAAAUAUAGUAAUGAUGAUGUUUAGAUAAUCUCUAUUUUGUUUUAUUAUUAUUUUCUAAUUUCAUUUGUAAUAAAAUGUUUAAUUUAAAUAAUAUUGCAAUUUUAUGAAAGAAAUUCAAAAGUUAUAAUAAAUGGGUUAAUUUGGAACAUUUACAAGUUAAAUGUGUUAUUUAUAAAAUAAAGAAUCUUUUAGAAAUAUUCUUUUAUAGAGGAAGAAACAAAUAAAUACAUCGGAGAAAAACUCACAUGUAUUAUAGAAUUUAUCUAUUAUAGAGAAUAAUAGGAAGAAACAGAGGAAUACAUUGGAGAUGGUAUCACCCAAUUGCAGUCUCUCUAUCUACUCUUCAGUUCUACUCACAAUUCUCUUUAUUUUAGCAAUAAAAAAAGUCUCAGACAAUGAAAGAGAAAGGUGGCUGCUCGGCUCCUACAUCAAAAUUUAAAAAACUCGCCAUUAAUCAACCAUUCAACUGCAGUACGACGUUUAUGGUUUGAGAUAUUCCCUAGCUAUGGCGGAUUUAGGAUUUCAAUGAACAUGUGGUCAUCAAAUCUAAUGACUACCUAGAAAUCUCAUUACAGGGAGAAGAUCGUUCCUUCUCUUAGGAAUAGGAAGGAGGAGAAAAUCAGAAGAAAAAGUACAGAGACCGUACCAGAGAAUCAAAAUCCUGCUUAUGAGAUGAUUCUCGUUUUUUUCUUUAUUUGUAAUAUCCUUCUCUUUUGAUAUUAUUCUCUAACUUUCUAUUUUGUGCUUUGUUAGUGCUUGUGAUGCACUGAAGCUCUCUAUUGAGAACAACAAGUAUCUUGGAGGUUUGUGCUAGGCUUUGUAAUUCUUCAAAUUGUUUUGUUAUCUAUCUUCUAUUUUUUUGUUCUGAUGUGCAUACAAUGAGUGAAAUUAUUUGCUAGGUGAUGUUGAACUUACCCUGUCAGUUUAGCAGAGAAUUGUCUAAUUAGGUGUUCCCUACUCUGACUGGUAGAAUGACAUGGUAAUGGAUUUCUUCCUCUUUGCCAAGGCUGAUUAAACUUCAAUUUCAUUACAUAUUCUCAUAUGCAUUGUUUUGUGAUCAUAUAUGUAUAUUCAACUUACCCAAUUCUUCUUUUUGUUUUCGUAAGUUAGAUUGUCUUUUAUUCAACUGAGACAUGUGUUUCACAAAAAUUAAAAGAAGGUGGCUUGAGGUACUUAAGGUGAAAUAUAUUAUAAGAAAUCAUAUAAUUAGAAGUGAUUUAAAACUUUUUUUAGCCAAACACUUCUUAGUAUGAGGAGGAGAGGGGCGGAUCUACUGUGUGGUCUAGAGGUGCUCUCUGGGAAUGUGGUCAUUCUCUUCAUCCUCAUUCUCACCAAGGCUGCUUAGACUGAAGCAAGGCCCUCCACUCCCGAGCGGCGACAACCGUGCUUAACUGCGAGAUAUCUAAGGCUAAACCUAAAUCAGACUGAGCCAUGGAGAGCAAGGCGGACUCUUUCAGAAGAAGUUAGUAAAGGAAAGUGAAAACUGAAUAUCCCUCUGUUGUGUAGUUGACUAUUUUAGACGAAUAAUGAGAUUCUUGGAGUUGGUUUUGAAACAUGGAUUCUCUUGAGGUUGAGAAGAAGACACGAGCGACCAUGAAUGCGGUAUGGAAAAGACCACCUAUCACCUAAAUCAUCAAAUUGUGACUCCGAGAAGAAUUGUCAACGUGGAGAUCAAAGCUAGAGCAGAAACUGCAGUUGCUAGGCAGAUUAAGGCUUAGUUAAAACUUUUACUUGCAAAACUAACUUAUAACUUUGUGAACCUGUUGAUGUAAGCCCCUGGAUUCGUUGCAAGUUAUGUAUGGAAACUCAGAUGAUGCUUUUUUCUUACGAAAGCCAUGGAAGGCCACCAACACCCUGAAGCUAACAGUUCUCCCCAGGUAGACAUAAGCGAUCAUGGUAGAAAAAUAGUAGAUUUACUUGAUCAUCUGUUAGGAUUCCUCCUAUAUUAGCUUGGAUAAUUAUCUGCUGUUAGCUUUCCUAUUUCAAAUAGAUAUAAAAAUAAUAAUUGUUUCUGUCUUAGAGUUUUCUAUAACACUGCAACAUACCCGAGUCCAUAGAACCUUAUCUCAUUGCAUGGAUCCAAUGCAUCAAACUCGAAUUAAUAUAUGUCCAUAAAUUUAGGAUUUAUAUGAUUCAUAUAGUUUGUUUACAAGAGACGGUUUCAGUUACUGUCAUUUUUAUACAAGUGUAAAUGUGUGCCGGUAUAUUUAAAUUAUGAGCUGAUGUUUCCUGGGAAGUUUGUGCUACAGAGAGAAUACGAGUUUUCGUCACUGGUGGAAAGAAUAUGCAGAUUGCAGCCAAGGCCCUAUACCACAAGUUGUUCCUAAAAAUAAAUCGAAUAAGCAGGUAACUGAAACUCCUUUAGAAAUUAUGUGUCUUAUACUCUAUAUGAAGUUGAAGAGGAGAUAGUUGGUGUACCUGUUAAGCAUCCGCUAUAUGAGGUACCAUGUUGAACCGUUAAGAGUCCUUAUAUCCAGCUUAUGUUUCUGACCAAGGAAUUGUAGAAUUUUCAUUUAAAUGAUAACAUGUUGAACCUUUAGAUUCCUUAUAUCUAGCUUAUGUUUCUGACCGAGGAACCAUAAUACUGUUGGUGGACUUGGUGAGGAGGCAUUGUUUCCUGUAUACUGGAAUGGAGAUAAUUGGCCUGUGCUGAGAGUCCAGAAACUGUUACCGAUCACUUGGAACUUCCAUAUUAUAACAAGGUCUGGCGCAGAAGAAGGGAUAAACCCUCGGGGUUUUUUUGCAUCUCAUGCGGAUUUGCGGUUCCAGGAAUAUGUGUGUGUUAUCAUUUAUAUGUUAAAAAAAAUAUAACUUCCUUUUCAGUUGAAUAAUUGUUAAUGUAGAUACUUCAGUCUCUCAUUACCGGGGAGGAUGAUACUUGGAAAUCUUGGCUUAACGCGGUUAUGCCAGCUCUCCUAAACCUACGCCAGUUCUCAAAAAUAUUGUGGAAUUAAAUCUCACAUUUCUUGUGCUUCUAUUGAGGAGAACUAGGCGAAGAACUGAAGAGAUUGUAAGAGCUCAAAUCAAGGGUUUGCAGAGGCGCCAAAUUGUAAAUUGAGAUGUUAUCUUUUUUACUUCUUUUUUUUGUAACAAAUGAGAUGUUAUCUUUUAUUUUGUUUUAGUAUAUCAUUUUGGUCUAUGAUUUUCAAAUC